rnacentral:rRNA from 1 species
GACGAACGCUGGCGGCGUGCUUAACACAUGCAAGUCGAACGGAAAGGCCUCUUUCGGGGGGUACUCGAGUGGCGAACGGGUGAGUAACACGUGAGUAACCUGCCCUUGACUUUGGGAUAACUUCAGGAAACUGGGGCUAAUACCGGAAAGGAGCUCCUGCUGCAUGGUGGGGGUUGGAAAGUUUCGGCGGUUGGGGAUGGACUCGCGGCUUAUCAGCUUGUUGGUGGGGUAGUGGCUUACCAAGGCUUUGACGGGUAGCCGGCCUGAGAGGGUGACCGGCCACAUUGGGACUGAGAUACGGCCCAGACUCCUACGGGAGGCAGCAGUGGGGAAUAUUGCACAAUGGGUGGAAGCCUGAUGCAGCAACGCCGUGUGCGGGAUGACGGCCUUCGGGUUGUAAACCGCUUUCGCUCAUGACGAAGCUUUGUGUGACGGUAGUGGGUAAAGAAGCACCGGCUAACUACGUG